CCUACGGGUGGCAGCAGUGGGGAAUAUUGCACAAUGGGGGAAACCCUGAUGCAGCGACGCCGCGUGAAGGAAGAAGUAUCUCGGUAUGUAAACUUCUAUCAGCAGGGAAGAAAAUGACGGUACCUGACUAAGAAGCCCCGGCUAACUACGUGCCAGCAGCCGCGGUAAUACGUAGGGGGCAAGCGUUAUCCGGAUUUACUGGGUGUAAAGGGAGCGUAGAC
rnacentral:rRNA from 1 species